CCAGGGGCUAUCAUGCUAGGGGAUUUUAUCUUGUUAUAACAAAAUAGAAAAGUCACUGUUUUUUCUCCCCACUCCCCACUUCCUAGAAGUAUCCCCCUUGAAGAAAAAAGAGAGGGCACUAUGAUUUCUGAUGGUUUGUUAGGAAAGGGGAUUAUUUUCUUAGACCCCAGUAGUCUAACUCUACUGCUUAUGCCCUGUUCUUGCAGCCAGAAUAUGGAGGAGAAAGGCAGACCGCAUGUUUACUUCAACAUUCCUCCUCCAAAUCACUGACAGUGAAGUGCACUGGGAAAAUAAUUCACUGAUUAAAAGAUAAUCAAAAUGUCCAUCAAAAUGAAAGAUCCCCCAUCUCCCCUCUCCUAUAUAUUCCCUCUCCUCUCAAGUGCUAGACAUUUUACCAUUCAACUUGAUUUCAUUUUUCAGGAAAGGAAAGGAAAGGAAGGUCAUGCACAGAAAUUUUGGGGGAUGGAGGAACCGAGGCAACAGAACUACUUCUUUGGGGAUUCCCUAAUUCACCUGUUAAUAGCCUGAUCUAACUCAGGAGCAUGACAUCGUGACCGGAAUCACCCCAAUUUGCCUCAUUACUUGAGGUGCACACAGAGCCAAUGCAUAACCCUAUUAUUCCCUG